UCUUAUCUCCCUUGGAUAAGCCAACACAGUUUUAUAUCUUGUUGGAUAGCAGCUCUGGACUCAUGGAUUCAUCUAAUCCGAUCCUCGGCUUCAUUAUGGACACAUAAUCCAUUUUCGUUAUUGGAACCCAAGUUUCCAAUGUUCACAUACAAUCAUGAAUGCAUGUAUUUAUACACAUAUCAACCAUAUGAUAUUCUCUAGCUCGAAGCUACUCUUUUAUGAAUGCGGGAACACAAUCCUAACACAUUCACUUAACAUUGCAAAUUAAUGCCAAAACAUUACAUUACUCACUCUAAACUAUAACUUAUUGCAUACACGUUUAUCAAUCAUAUAACGAUUAACAAUAAGCAUUAACAGCAUCAACAUGUAUCAACAAUCAUGUAAGGAUACCCUUAAACCAUGUUACAAGUGCCUAAUUACACUUACAACCAUUAACAAAAGUUGCAG
rnacentral:lncRNA from 1 species